rnacentral:lncRNA from 1 species
AAUCCACAAUUGCGAGAAGCUCUUUAUUGUGGAUGUCAUAGUUCAUCUCGGCAAUUAAAAAUUUUUCGGUGUCGUAAUGUGUGAAGUCUUGCUUGAGAAUGCUCUGGGCACCUAGCUGUAGAAGGAAGAAUAGAAAUUGCGAUAACAAAAUCCUAAUUCUAAUAGAAUACUAACAAUGCUCUAAUUAGACUAUAAUAAUGGUAAACAAACGUAAUCAAAUUCAAAACAACUCAAAGAAAUUUCAAACAAACAAUAAAAUUCUUAAAGAAAUAUUAGAAUGAAUACAAAUAUUACUCAAAUAUAUGUCAAUUCAACCUUAAUUUAAUUCUAAUUAAAACCCUAUUGAAUUUCACUCAAACUUUAGACCAAACCUAAUUAAAUCUUAAAUCCUAAUAAAUCUUAAAUCCUAAGUCAAAUCCUAAACAAACCUUAAAUUAAACCCUAAAUCAAAUCCUAUUUCAAAUCCUAAACCCUAAACCAAAUCCUAAAUCCUAACCCAAAUCCUAAUCCAACCCUAAAUCCUAACCAAAUCCUAACCAAAU